AUGAACGCUGGCGGCGUGCCUAAUACAUGCCAGUCGCGCGAACAGACGAGGAGCUUGCUCCUCUGACGUUAGCGGCGGACGGGUGAGUAACACGUGGAUAACCUACCUAUAAGACUGGGAUAACUUCGGGAAACCGGAGCUAAUACCGGAUAAUAUAUUGAACCGCAUGGUUCAAUAGUGAAAGACGGUUUUGCUGUCACUUAUAGAUGGAUCCGCGCCGCAUUAGCUAGUUGGUAAGGUAACGGCUUACCAGGGCAACGAUGCGUAGCCGACCUGAGAGGGUGAUCGGCCACACUGGAACUGAGACACGGUCCAGACUCCUACGGGAGGCAGCAGUAGGGAAUCUUCCGCAAUGGGCGAAAGCUUGACGGAGCAACGCCGCGUGAGUGAUGAAGGUCUUCGGAUCGUAAAACUCUGUUAUUAGGGAAGAACAAAUGUGUAAGUAACUAUGCACGUCUUGACGGUACCUAAUCAGAAAGCCACGGCUAACUACGUG
rnacentral:rRNA from 1 species